rnacentral:misc_RNA from 1 species
GGCGGGUUAGGGUUCCGGCGAGCUAGGGUUCCGACGGACUCCGAAGGAAAUGUCCUCCGCUUGCCGCUUCUUGCCAAUCCCCUCGCUGAGCUCCCUCCGCCCAACCUCUAGGCUCAGAAUCCCGAAGCUAUCCCUCGCCGCCGUCCCCGCGCGCUCCGUAUCCACUCGUUGGUCCCCUCUGAAGGUAUGGAGACCGGCGAGGGUGUCAUGCUUCAAGGAGGAGAACGGGGAGGAGGUUCAGUGCGGUGGAAGUUCGGAGUUCAUCGAGAUAAAGCCGGCUGUGGAGUUGGAUGGGGGUAGAUUGGAUGCGCCGAGCACCGGCGAGAAGCAAUGGGUUAAAAGCAUUCGAAAGAUUGUGAAUAGAAUCUUCGUACUACACGCUGAUCCUUGGAGUGUACCAUGGACGGCUGAAACAAUUGUUCAGGUCAUGCUUCUCUGGAUCGCAUCUUUCUGGUUUGUUGGAUCCUGGAUAAUCCCAUUCUUGGCUCACACGGCUGGUUUUAGCAAGGAAACCUUGACACACAGAGGUCAAGCCCUAUACAGCCUCUUGACCGACAUUGCCG